CAACAGCGGCUAACACAUGAGACUACCCUGCUGCCCGUCCUACCCUUCUACCACUCUGCCGCCCAACCCAAGCCGCUCAGCGAACUAGAAAAAACAACUUCUCGACUGAAUGCAAGCUGGAAGGCGAAAAAAAAAAAAAACUUGAAAAACUGCGAGUGCGUGCGUACAUCUGUGUGUUUGUGUGUGUUGGUUGCACACUGGGGAGCAGCUGUAGAUUUGAAGUAGGCUCUCCUGGGGCUCACUCUGACAAUUGUACGAGAAUUUUAUAUUUUUUUUCCUAUACCGUUUUUUUUUCUUUUCGAAAUAUUUGUCUCAUUGCCGCGCGUAUUACUUUUUUUUUAGCUCUGGCAAUUGCCGAGCUGCUGCGCGGGCAAACUAAAAAAUAUGGCCAAGUUUUGGCUCUAGGCGAUCUCCAUGGCGCUCCAUGGGCGAUGGCGAUGGCAACGGCGACAAUGUGAAUUUAUGGCGAGCUACGUGGGAAUACACUCAGCUAGCUACCAUAUGGAUAGUAUUUGUCGUUGGCGGGGUUUUUUUUUUUGCUUCUUUCUACCCAGUUACUGUGUUUGGUCUGCUUAAAGCGCCGUGAAAAUGUUGGCCAAGAAAAUUGAAAAAUCCGAUGUGGAAUUGAAUAAUGUGCUGGCACGCGAAAGCAGCUCAAGUGGGUGGUGUACGGCGGGCUAGCGAGUGCAACAGUCAGCGACGCGCUUUGUGGCAUGUUAGUAAUGCGACAAGAAGAUUUAUGCAAAGUCCUGAGAGUUGUGCAUUUCGAAUUGAUAGCGGCACACACGGAUUUGUACAACAGGAAGGACCUCUAAAGUUUUAUGUAGCCCUAGCUAAGCACAACAAAGGACAACGAGUGGUUAAUAAAUUGGGUGAAAAACAAGCAAGAAUAAGUAAAUAGAAGUUGCUUAAAGAAAACUUUAACGACAAACUAUCUGGAAAAAAUGUAAUAAGCGACAGCAUCAUGGAUCUAUCUAAGUAUCUUGACCGACUUGCUUUACUUAAGUGACAUGUACAGCCCAAACUGUCGAGAUUUUGAAGAAUUCCAUCCCAAACUGCAGAAUGAUCAAAAUGCAUAAAAAUGUAUUUGCUACCUUUCAAAAAUCCCUAAAAUUAGUGAAGAGUUAAUCUAUGUAAAGAUAAGCUUUAAACUUAUUUCCUCAUAUGUACCCAGGUUAAAUCUUUCGUAUUACAAAAAUGUUUCAAACACGAUUCUGACAAAAAUAUGUGUAAAAAAAAAUGAUAAAAGUGUGCCCCUAUGCUCUUAACUUUUGAAACAGCCCCGAAAAUUAUUUUUGGAUGGCCUCAUUAAAUUCGCAGUUUUAACUUUA